CAAAAGUAAAUUAGAGGACGACAGAGUGGCACGGUCCUGAGACUGAGGAAAGCGGGAGGAGGUGGCGGCCACAGGAAGAUGCUGUUCUUUGGCAUAAAUUGCAAUCGAUUAGGGAUCGUUUCUCAGAAUCAAGUUAGAAGUGAGAGUUCAGAUAAGUGAGGCCGCCAUUGCUGCUUUGAACACCUCAGAAGGGGAGAAUGGAUUUAUCAAGAGUGAAAAAGGAGAGCUUGCUAGGAGUCAAAGAAAAUAAUAAAAAGUCCAGCACUAGGGCUCCUUCUCCUACCAAACGCAAAGACCGCUCUGAUGAGAAGUCCAAGGAUCGCUCUAAAGAUAAAGGGGCCACCAAGGAGUCGAGUGAGAAGGAUCGUGGCAGGGAUAAAACUCGAAAGAGGUGCAGCACUUCUAGUGGUAGCAGCAGCACCAGGUCUCGGUCCAGCUCAACUUCCAGUUCAGGCUCCAGCACCAGUACCGGCUCAAGCAGCGGCUCCAGCUCCUCCUCAGCUUCAAGCCGCUCAGGGAGUUCCAGCACCUCCCGCAGCUCCAGCUCCAGUAGCUCCUCUGGCUCUCCAAGUUCUUCUCGGCGCAGACAUGACAACAGGCGGCGUUCCCGUUCCAAAUCCAAGCCACCUAAAAGAGAUGAAAAGGAGAGGAAAAGGCGGAGCCCUUCCCCUAAACCCACCAAAGUGCAUAUUGGGAGGCUGACCAGGAAUGUACCCAAGGAUCACAUCAUGGAAAUAUUUUCUACCUAUGGGAAAAUUAAAAUGAUUGACAUGCCCGUAGAAAGGAUGUAUCCCCAUCUAUCCAAAGGCUAUGCAUACGUGGAGUUUGAGAGUCCAGACGAGGCCGAGAAGGUGCUGAAGUACAUGGAUGGAGGGCAAAUCGAUGGCCAGGAGAUCACUGCCACAGCUGUGCUGGCCCCCUGGCCUAGACCACCUCCCAGGCGAUUCAGUCCUCCCAGGAGAAUGCUACCGCCACCUCCAAUGUGGCGCAGGUCUCCCCCAUGAAUGAGAAGAAGGUCCUGCUCCCCCAGGCGCCGGUCUCCUGUGCGCCGGCGAUCCCACUCCCCUGGCCGUCGCCGCCACAGGAGCCGUUCCAGCUCCAACUCCUCCGGAUAAGCAGGCCUUGAAGCUCGUGCCCCAUGACUGACAGCCCACCCAGCUCAGUUGUGUCACUUUUCUGGCCAAAGGAGGAUCAGUAGGAAAGGAAAUCCCUCACCUGGGCAGGCUUCAA